GGACCCGCACAAGCGGUGGAGCAUGUGGUUUAAUUCGAAGCAACGCGAAGAACCUUACCAGGUCUUGACAUCCUUUGACCACUCUAGAGAUAGAGCUUUCCCUUCGGGGACAAAGUGACGAGGUGGUGCAUGGUUGUCGUCAGCUCGUGUCGUGAGAUGUUGGUUAAGUCCUAUAACGAGCGCAACCCCUAUCGUUAGUUGCCAGCGGGUAAUGCCGGGAACUCUAGCGAAACUGCCGGUGCAAACCGAGAGGAAGGUGGGGAUGACGUCAAAUCAUCACGGCCCUUACGUCCUGGCUACACACGUGCUACAAUGGCCGGUACAGAGAGCAGCCACUACGCGAGUAGGAGCG
rnacentral:rRNA from 1 species